rnacentral:rRNA from 1 species
GUAGGGGCGAGAGGCGGUGUCCGGUAUUCGAUUUGGUGCGUAAAGAGCGUGUAGGCGGCCAGGUAGGUCCGUUGUGAAAACUCGAGGCUCAACCUCGAGACGUCGGCGGAAACCCUCUGGCUAGAGUCCGGAAGAGGAGAGUGGAAUUCCUGGUGUAGCGGUGAAAUGCGCAGAUAUCAGGAAGAACACCCGUGGCGAAGGCGGCUCUCUGGGACGGUACUGACGCUGAGACGCGAAAAGCGUGGGGAGCAAACAGG